rnacentral:rRNA from 1 species
GACGAACGCUGGCGGCGUGCUUAACACAUGCAAGUCGAACGGAAAGGCCCUGCUUGCAGGGUACUCGAGUGGCGAACGGGUGAGUAACACGUGGGUGAUCUGCCCUGCACUUCGGGAUAAGCCUGGGAAACUGGGUCUAAUACCGGAUAGGAGCCAUUUUUAGUGUGAUGGUUGGAAAGUUUUUUCGGUGUAGGAUGAGCUCGCGGCCUAUCAGCUUGUUGGUGGGGUAAUGGCCUACCAAGGCGGCGACGGGCAGCCGGCCUGAGAGGGUGGACGGCCACAUUGGGACUGAGAUACGGCCCAGACUCCUACGGGAGGCAGCAGUGGGGAAUAUUGCACAAUGGGCGCAAGCCUGAUGCAGCGACGCCGCGUGGGGGAUGACGGCCUUCGGGUUGUAAACUCCUUUCGCUAGGGACGAAGCUUUUUGUGACGGUACCUAGAUAAGAAGCACCGGCUAACUACGUG